GUUGAUUUUCUGGCAGUGAGCCUCUACCGAGUACGCCCCACACAAUGUUGAGGCAACCCCGGGAUUCCCCCCAUUACCAACAUUGCAUAAGAUCACCUAAGCGGCUUUCUUCUCAACACACUUUCUAUGUACAUGCACUAAGCUCAAAAAACUCUAACAACAUGCUAGUUACCAUAUUUAACUUUAGUCUACACUGAAGGAUGGCCAAGCAAGUCAAUAUCUAUUACUCUGUACCCAACUGAACUAAUCUAUGUUAUCCCCUUGUAACACAGUUUGCUCCAUACUUUACCUUUCUCGUACUUGCCAUAACCAAGCAUCAACAUGACUAACUUACCUAUCUCAGACCUGAAUUGCCUGAUAUUCCUGUUAAAAUUUUAUCUUAUAAAAAAAAUAUAUAUAUCUCGGGAACGGUGUUUCGGAUUAAAGAGGGC